UGAGGAAUAUUGGUCAAUGGACGAGAGUCUGAACCAGCCAAGUAGCGUGCAGGAUGACGGCCCUAUGGGUUGUAAACUGCUUUUGUUUGGGAAUAAUCGACAUUACGUGUAAUGUUUUGCAUGUACCAUUCGAAUAAGGACCGGCUAAUUCCGUGCCAGCAGCCGCGGUAAUACGGAAGGUCCAGGCGUUAUCCGGAUUUAUUGGGUUUAAAGGGCGUGUAGGCGGUUGGUUAAGCGUGUUGUGAAAUGUAGAUGCUCAACAUCUGACUUGCAGCGCGAACUGGCUGACUUGAGUACACACAACGUAGGCGGAAUUCAUGGUGUAGCGGUGAAAUGCUUAGAUAUCAUGAAGAACUCCGAUUGCGAAGGCAGCUUACGGGAGCGCAACUGACGCUGAAGCUCGAAGGUGCGGGUAUCGAACAGG
rnacentral:rRNA from 1 species